CCGGAUCCCGCCUCAGCGCCGCCAACCGCCGCCAUCUUGGAGGAGAGAAAAGCGCGAGCGGCCAGGCAGCCUCAGUCGAGCCCAGAGCGCAGACUCCGGCUCGCGGAGGGGACUCCCGCCCGCGAGGAGCGCCGAGCGCAUCGAAUGAAACCGGGAGCUGGCUGAGCUCAGGAACCAGUGUUCAUUGAGAGGUUGCUCUGUGCCAGGCUUGGGCUAGAAGCUUUACGAACGUUAUAUCAUUUAAUCCUCGCUGCAUCCCUGUGACUUAGGUUUUGUCACAGUUUACAGCUGUGUGACCUUGAGCAAGUUACUAGACAUCUCUGGGCCCUAAUGCCUCUCUUCUCAAAAUGGAAAUAAGGAGCGGGUGAGCAUCUGAAGACAAGGAGCCUGGUCCUUCUGUAAUCUACGCAGAGCGUCAUCACCCAUCUCACCAAGCUUAUUGUCGUCAAACAAAUGGUGGUCGAUUGGAGCGCUGGUC